GUGAGGAAUAUUGGUCAAUGGGCGGAAGCCUGAACCAGCCAUGCCGCGUGAAGGACGAAGGCGUUCUGCGUUGUAAACUUCUUUUAUAAGGGAAGAAACCUGCGAUAUCUAUUGCAGUCGACGGUACCUUAUGAAUAAGCACCGGCUAACUCCGUGCCAGCAGCCGCGGUAAUACGGAGGGUGCAAGCGUUAUCCGGAUUCACUGGGUUUAAAGGGUGUGUAGGCGGGCUUGUAAGUCAGGGGUGAAAUCCUACAGCUUAACUGUAGAACUGCCUUUGAUACUAUAGGUCUUGAAUAUUGUUGAGGUGGGCGGAAUACAUCAUGUAGCGAUGAAAUGCUUAGAUAUGAUGUAGAACACCGAUUGCGAAGGCAGCUCACUAAGCAAAUAUUGACGCUGAGGCACGAAAGCGUGGGGAUCAAACAGGAUUAGAAACCCGGGUAGUCC
rnacentral:rRNA from 1 species